CGCCGGGACCCCGCCGAGCGGCAGAAUGACUUGGGAUAUAAAUAAACUAAAUAUAUCCUGUUUGAAUAAUAAGUGGAAGACAGCUUGAUGAAUUGGACAAGCACUUGGCUCCAUACCUAGGAUACAGCAGUUCCUCCAUCAAUAUACAAAAGAAUAAGAUUCAGAGAGAAAUGCAGAGGCCAGAGAUGGGGAACCACACAGCCCCAGGAGCCUCCGUUUCUGCCUGCUGGGUUCCAGCCCUGAAGAAGCUCAGCUGUCCACUGUCCAUGGAGGCACAGACACGUCAUUUAAAUUCCUUUACUUAAGGUGGCAUGAGGUCCUUUUUCUUUCUGGAGAGCUGGAAAUUUGCUUUUUCCCUCUUCAAAAGAAAGGCUGCAGCGAGCCUCAUGGGCUGGGUGUGGUGGCUUAUGCCUGUAAUCCCAGCACUUUGUGGGGCUAAAGCAGGAGGAUCACUUGAGCCCAGGAGUUCGAGACCAGCCUGGGCAACAUAGUGAGACACCCCCAUCUCUACAAAAAAUAAAUAAACACAAUUAGCCAGUUGUGGUGGUACACACCUGUGGUCCCUGCUUUUUGGGAGGCUGAGGUGGGAGGAUCACUUGAGCUCAGGAAGUCAAGGCUGCAGUGAGUCAAGAUCACGCCACUACAUUCCAGCCUGAGCAACAGAGUGAGACCCUAUCUCAAAAAACAAAAAGCAAAACAAAGGAACAAAAAAGCCCUCAAGGCCUUUCAUUUAAUAGCAAGGGUAAUAACAAACACUCAUAGAGUCUAUCUGUAAAACAUUCAUUUAAAGACCACUCAUUUAAUCUUCAUGACCAGCCCCUGAGGGGGAUAUGGUGAUAGCCUCCUCAUUGUUCAGGUGAGAAUCUGGAGGUAGGUGUGGACUUGGCACAGAACUGGGAAGUAGCGAAGGUCAGAUUCAAAACCUGGGUAGUCCAGCUCCAAAGUCCAUUGCCGAACCAUUAUACUGGUUGCAACGCCCUGCCCCAAGUGUAGCAUAAAAGUGUUUGUAGAAUAGACAUAAGAGACAUGGAGUAGCUGAGUGUUAGGAGAAGGCUUGCUCCCCAUUCCCUUUUUCUUCUUUGAGUCUGCCCUCCCCGCAACAACUGCUGAGGCUUUGCCCCUUUGCUGGCUGGGCCCUAGAAGAGAUGGAAUGACUCACUGGAUUAAUACAUUUGGGAAG
rnacentral:lncRNA from 1 species